rnacentral:rRNA from 1 species
AACCCCUGUGACAUACCUUUAUGUUGCCUCGGCGGAUCAGCCCGCGCCCCGUAAAACGGGACGGCCCGCCGCAGGAACCACAAAACUCUGAUUUUAGUGUAACUUCUGAGUCUAAAAAACAAAUAAAUCAAAACUUUCAACAACGGAUCUCUUGGUUCUGGCAUCGAUGAAGAACGCAGCAAAAUGCGAUAAGUAAUGUGAAUUGCAGAAUUCAGUGAAUCAUCGAAUCUUUGAACGCACAUUGCGCCCGCCAGUAUUCUGGCGGGCAUGCCUGUUCGAGCGUCAUUUCAACCCUCAAGCCCCCGGGUUUGGUGUUGGGGAUCGGGCUGUACUCCAGCCCGGCCCCGAAAUCUAGUGGCGGUCUCGCUGCAGCCUCCAUUGCGUAGUAGCUAACACCUCGCAACUGGAACGCGGCGCGGCCAAGCCGUUAAACCCCCAACUUCUGAAUGUUGACCUCGGAUCAGGUAGGAAUACCCGCUGAACUUAAGCAUAUC